rnacentral:tRNA from 3 species
ACGUUAUUAGUAUAAAAAUUAUAUUACUUUUCCAAAGUAGUGAUCUAGGCUUUCUAGAUAACGUA